GGGAGCGGGGCCGACACAGGGUUCCUGACCAAGCUGGUGCUUCUGCGUGUGUUCCUGCAUGACUUGGUGUGUCCCCUUCUCUUGGAUCUACUGCAGUUGACAGCAGAUAACUGAAAGCUCGGAAAGCGAAACCGUGGAUAAGCAGGGGAACUGUGGCAUCCCAUUUAAAAUUGCUUCUGAAGAGAAGCAUGAGGUUACAUCUGUAAUCUCCCUGCAGCAGAGUCAACUGCAUAAGAAACCAAAAGACACACCUGCUCCAUGCCAGCUUCGAUAAUUUCUUUGUACCUUCGGCGAAAGAAGCCCAUCUGAAAGGCAGAAAGAAAGAGAAGCUGAGUUAGAAGUGCUGAAGAAUCAGCCAUUGUGACCCCAAGGCAGUCUGUCCCUGGGUAGGUGUGACCUGCACUCACAGGGCUGGGGAGGCUUGGAGGACCCCUCGGAUUAGAGAAAACACUGGCAAGAAAAA
rnacentral:lncRNA from 1 species